AACGAACGCUGGCGGCAUGCCUAACACAUGCAAGUCGAACGAGACCUUCGGGUCUAGUGGCGCACGGGUGCGUAACGCGUGGGAAUCUGCCCUUGGGUUCGGAAUAACAGUGAGAAAUUACUGCUAAUACCGGAUGAUGACGUAAGUCCAAAGAUUUAUCGCCCAAGGAUGAGCCCGCGUAAGAUUAGCUAGUUGGUGGGGUAAAGGCCUACCAAGGCGACGAUCUUUAGCUGGUCUGAGAGGAUGAUCAGCCACACUGGGACUGAGACACGGCCCAGACUCCUACGGGAGGCAGCAGUGGGGAAUACUGGACAAUGGGCGAAAGCCUGAUCCAGCAAUGCCGCGUGAGUGAUGAAGGCCUGGUUGUAAGUCUCUUCGUCCACCGACGACUGAUG
rnacentral:rRNA from 1 species